rnacentral:rRNA from 1 species
GACGAACGCUGGCGGCGUGCUUAACACAUGCAAGUCGAACGAGAGCGUAGAGACAGCUUGCUUUUUCUACAAUCUAGUGGCAAACGGGUGAGUAACGCGUAAACAACCUGCAAUACGGAUGGGGACACCAGAUGGAAACGGCUGCUAAUACCGAAUAUGUUCCCAAAGUCGCACGACUAUCGGAAGAAAGCAUGGCCUCUAUUUAUAAUCUAUCGCCGGUGCAGGGGUUUGCGGCUGAUUUGCUAGUUGGCGGGGUAAACGGCUCACAAGGCGACGAUCAGUAACCCGUCUGAGAGGAGUGAUGGGCACAAUGGAACCGAAGCACGGGCCAGACUCCUACGGGGGGCAGCAGGGGGGGAAUUUCCGGAAUGGGGGAAAGGCUUACGGGGGAACGCCGCGGUAGGGGAGGCGGCCUUCGGGUUGGAAAGAUCUGUUAUACGGGACAGAUAAUCUUGUUGUUAAUACCCAUGAAAAUUGACGGUACCGUAAGAGAAAGCCACGGCUAACUACGUG